UUUUGGACAAUGGGCGCAAGCCUGAUCCAGCCAUGCCGCGUGCGGGAAGAAGGCCUUCGGGUUGUAAACCGCUUUUGUCAGGGAAGAAACGCUCUGGGCUAAUACCCCGGGGUAAUGACGGUACCUGAAGAAUAAGCACCGGCUAACUACGUGCCAGCAGCCGCGGUAAUACGUAGGGUGCAAGCGUUAAUCGGAAUUACUGGGCGUAAAGCGUGCGCAGGCGGUUUGUUAAGCCAGAUGUGAAAGCCCCGGGCUCAACCUGGGAACUGCGUUUGGUACUGGCAAGCUAGAGUACGGCAGAGGGGGGUGGAAUUCCACGUGUAGCAGUGAAAUGCGUAGAGAUGUGGAGGAACACCGAUGGCGAAGGCAGCCCCCUGGGCCGAUACUGACGCUCAGGCACGAAAGCGUGGGGAGCAAACA
rnacentral:rRNA from 1 species